rfam:Haemonchus placei strain MHpl1 genome assembly, scaffold: HPLM_scaffold0000226
UGGCGGUGAUGACUUGUGGUUGGUCCGUGUUUCCGACAAGCGAAUGAUGUUACCACAACCAUCUGAGCCA